UGCAAGUCGAACGGUAACAUUGGUGCUUGCACCAGAUGACGAGUGGCGCACGGGUGCGUAACGCGUAUGCAAUCUACCUUUUACUAGAGUAUAGCCCAGAGAAAUUUGGAUUAAUCCUCUAUAAUAUCUUUUAAUUUCAUGAUUUUAAGAUUAAAGUUUUAACGGUAAAAGAUGAGCAUGCGUCCUAUUAGUUUGUAGGUGAGGUAACGGCUCACCUAGACUACGAUAGGUAGGGGCCCUGAGAGGGGGAUCCCCCACACUGGUACUGAGACACGGACCAGACUCCUACGGGAGGCAGCAGUAAGGAAUAUUGGACAAUGGACGAAAGUCUGAUCCAGCCAUGCCGCGUGCAGGAUGAAAGCCCUACGGGUUGUAAACUGCUUUUAUACAGGAAGAAACACUCCGACGUGUCGGAGCUUGACGGUACUGUAAGAAUAAGGAUCGGCUAACUCCGUGCCAGCAGCCGCGGUAAUACGGAGGAUCCAAGCGUUAUCCGGAAUCAUUGGGUUUAAAGGGUCCGCAGGCUGUUUUUUAAGUCAGAGGUGAAAUCCUACAGCUCAACUGUAGAACUGCCUUUGAUACUGAAAAACUUGAGUUAUUGUGAAGUGGUUAGAAUGUGUGGUGUAGCGGUGAAAUGCAUAGAUAUCACACAGAAUACCGAUUGCGAAGGCAGAUCACUAACAAUAUACUGACGCUCAUGGACGAAAGCGUGGGGAGCGAACAGGAUUAGAUACCCUGGUAGUCCACGCCGUAAACGAUGGAUACUAGCUGUUCGUCUAACAUUGGUUAGAUGAGUGGCUAAGCGAAAGUGAUAAGUAUCCCACCUGGGGAGUACGGUCGCAAGACUGAAACUCAAAGGAAUUGACGGGGGCCCGCACAAGCGGUGGAGCAUGUGGUUUAAUUCGAUGAUACGCGAGGAACCUUACCAGGGCUUAAAUGUAGUGGGACAGGUCUAGAGAUAGACCCUUCUUC
rnacentral:rRNA from 1 species